rnacentral:lncRNA from 1 species
UUCUAGUAUGUGUGUAUUUUUUUCUUUCUCUAGUGGAGACUUAUUAAAUGAAGAAACCACACAGCUUCCAACUCUGCAGUAGAUCUUGGGCUGUAACUGAUAUUCAACAUUACCAUCCUUGUUGUAAACUGAAUGUCAUAUCCCUCAAAAUUCAUAUGUUGAACCCCUAACUUCCCCUGUGAUGGCAUUUAGAGGACGAGCCUUUGGGGCAUAGUUAAGUUUAGAUAAGAUCAUAGAGGUGGGGGCCCCAUGGUGGAAUUGCUCUCCUUAUAAGAAGUGAAAGACCAAAGCUCUCACUCUCUCCCCACCAUGGGAGGACACAGCAAGAAGGCAGCUAUCUGAUAACCAGGAAGAGGGCCCUCACUAGGAACUGACUGCCAGCACCUCAACCUUGAUCUUUCCAUCCUCCAGAACUGUGAGAAAUAAAGUUUUGUUGUCUAACCCACCCACAGUAUUUUUUACAGAGGCCUGAGCUAAGAUACUUCUUAGUUACGCAUUUUCACCCUCUUCGCCCUUAAACAGCACCUCUGCUGGUCAGGUGGCCUAACUUUGGAAGACUCAGACCUUCAUCUGUGACAGUUCUAUAGUCACAGUCGCUAUGCCUUCUCAGGUCCUGGCUGCUGUAUUAUUACAUUGAUUCUCAAAGUUGUACAAGAGAAUAUCAAAAGACACCAAAGUGGAUUAAGAUUAGUUACUGUUAAAAAUAUUCCUCCUGCUUUACGUUCUACAAGAGCUCUACCUUUUUCCGAAGUUCAGAUCAAUUAUCCCUAUCAGGAUAGUGACUUCUCUUCAAGUCACUUGGGAAAAGUCCCCUGAAGUACACUGGAAGAAGCCAUAACUUAAGUUCAUUGAAAUUUUUGCAGUGUCCCAGAGUCGAUGUAUUCUACCUUUGUCGACCAGAACUUCUCCAUCAUACAGUCCAAACUUGUGGGUCUGGAAAGCACAAACUCUGUAAAUGAGAAACUGGUGAUGAUGUUAAGUAAGUUAUUUAUAUUUUAAGUCCCUGAUUUUAGACUCAUGUAUUUUACCUACUCGGAAAAAAUCAUAUUAUGGUUGUUGAUUUAGAAUACACAUCCUAAAAAGUGACAUCCCAUCUUUGUAUGGUCUCAUGUCUGAGCUAGGCAUCCCACUGAAAUCUUUAACUUAACAUGCCAUUGUUCCACUACGCACCACCCAGCAGCUAAUUGGUCUCCACGCAGAAUGGUGCUAUUAGGGGGACUCAGUGAUUGUCUUGUAUGUAUGGACAUCAUGCAGUAACAGGAGAUAAAUUUGUGUUGGAGACAGGGAACCCAUGCUACUGAAUUUAUGCAUAGUCUUCCUUACAUCACCAUGGUUACCAUGUCUACAUGCACCUCAUGCUCACACUUGGGUUGCGUGAUGGUUAAUAUUGAGUGUCAACUUGAUUGGAUUGAAGGAUGCAAAGCAUCGUUCCUAGGUGUGUCUGUGAGGGUAUUGCCAAAGGAGAUUAACAUUUGAGUCCGUGGACUGAGAAAGCCAGAUCCACAAUCAAUCCGGGUGGGGACAAUCUAAUCAGCUGCCAGCAUGGCCAGAAUAAAAGCAGACAGAAACACGUGGAAAGACCAGACUGGCUAAGCCUUCUGGCCUCCAUCUUUCUUCCAUGCUGGAUGCUUUCUGCCCUUGAACAUCAGACUCCAAGUUCUUCAGCUUUUGGAUUCUUGGACUCACACCAGUGAUUUGCCAGGGGCUCUUGGGCCUUCCACCACAGACUGAAGGCUGCACUAUCAGCUUCCCUACUUUUGAGGUUUUGGGACUCGGACUGGCUUCCUGGCUCCUCAGCUUGAAGACAACCAAUGGUGGGACUUCACCUUGUGAUCCUGUGAGUCAUUUCUCCUAAUAAAUUCCCCUUCAUAUAGACACUAUCCUAUUAGUUCUGUCCAUCUAGAGAACCCCGACAAACAUGGGUUGCUAUCAACUGGACAAAUCAUUGCCAACUAAGUUUUUUAGUGCUUCAGCACUUCUACCAUAGUUAGUGUGCACUAAUGAAUGCAAACAUUUGUAUUACCUAAUACAUGGUCUGGUACAGCAUCCUCAGAUGUGAACUAUGCUGCCUCCUGUAUCCAAAAAGGACUACCAAAUGUUGUACUUCCAUCUUAUUGCAGUGCAGUAAGAAAUAUUUUGUCCUUUAUUUUGUAGAUGUCCCAUCAUGCCCUCAACCACAAAACACCUAAAUUUUACGGUUAUAAUCGCUGUCAGUGGUUGUACGUUGAUAUUCUAUUGUUCCAGCACCAUUCUUUUCCUAUUAAAUUACACUGGCAAAUUUGAUUAAAAAAAACAACUGACUAUAUAUGCUUGUAAACAUUUCCAGAUUAUGUUAUUCUUUUAAUCUAAAUAUGUGUCCUUAUGCCAAUACCCCACUCCAUCUAUUACUGCAGUGUAUGAUAAGUCUUGAAAUCUAGUAGUGUAAGUUCUUCAACGUUGCCCUUAAUUUUUAAAAUCACUCUUGCUAUUUAAAAUUGUUUGUAUUACAUGGAAAUUUUAUAAUCAGCUUGCCAAUUUCUACAAAAGUCCUGCUGAGAUUUUAAUUGGUAUUUUGCUUGUUCUGCAGCUUAAUGCAAGAAAAUUAUCUUAACAAUAUUGAAUUUUUCAAUCUAUUAACAUGUUAUAUAUUACUGUUUACUUAGGAUUUUUUCACUUUUCCUGCCUUGUUUUGAACUGAUAUUGUGGUUUUAAGUAAUUUUUUUUAUUUCUACUAUUGGCUUAGUAACUAUGCCCCACUUUUUGAUUUUGUAGCACAGUUGACCAUUGAACAACACAAGUUUGAAUUGUGCAUGUCCAAUUGUCUAUGGAUAUUUUUCAAUAAAAGUUACACUGAGUGCAUC